AACGAACGCUGGCGGCAUGCCUAACACAUGCAAGUCGAACGAGACCUUCGGGCCUAGUGGCGCACGGGUGCGUAACGCGUGGGAACCUGCCCUUAGGUUCGGAAUAACUCCCCGAAAGGGGUGCUAAUAACGGAUAAUGUCUUCGGACCAAAGAUUUAUCGCCUUUGGAUGGGCCCGCGUUGGAUUAGCUAGUUGGUAGGGUAAAAGCCUACCAAGGCGACGAUCCAUAGCUGGUCUGAGAGGAUGAUCAGCCACACUGGGACUGAGACACGGCCCAGACUCCUACGGGAGGCAGCAGUGGGGAAUAUUGGACAAUGGGCGAAAGCCUGAUCCAGCAAUGCCGCGUGAGUGAUGAAGGCCUUAGGGUUGUAAAGCUCUUUUACCCGGGAUGAUAAUGACAGUACCGGGAGAAUAAGCUCCGGCUAACUCCGUG
rnacentral:rRNA from 1 species